UACAGAGGUCUCAAGCGUUGUUCGGAUUUAUUGGGCGUAAAGAGCUCGUAGGCGGCUUGUUGCGUCGACUGUGAAAACCCGCGGCUCAACCGUGUGGUCUGCAGUCGAUACGGGCAGGCUAGAGUUCGGUAGGGGAGACUGGAAUUCCUGGUGUAGCGGUGGAAAUGCUGCAGAUAUCAGGAGGAACACCGGUGGCGAAGGCGGGGUCUCUGGGCCGAUACUGACGCUGAGGAGCGAAAGCGUGGGGAGCGAACAGG
rnacentral:rRNA from 1 species